rnacentral:rRNA from 1 species
UACGUAGGGUGCGAGCGUUGUCCGGAAUUAUUGGGCGUAAAGAGCGUGUAGGCGGUCCGGUAAGUCGGCUGUGAAAGUCCAGGGCUCAACCCUGGGAUGCCGGUCGAUACUGCCCGGACUAGAGUUCGGAAGAGGCGAGUGGAAUUCCCGGUGUAGCGGUGAAAUGCGCAGAUAUCGGGAGGAACACCUAUGGCGAAGGCAGCUCGCUGGGACGUUACUGACGCUGAGACGCGAAAGCGUGGGGAGCAAACAGG